rnacentral:rRNA from 1 species
GACUCUCGGCAACAGAUAUCUUGGCUCCCGCAUCGAUGAAGAACGUAGCAAAAUGCGAUACUUGGUGUGAAUUGCAGAAUCCCGUGAACCAUCGAGUCUUUGAACGCAAGUUGCGCCCCAAGCCUUAUGGCCGAGGGCACGUCUGCCUGGGUGUCA